AUUGAACGCUGGCGGCAUGCUUUACACAUGCAAGUCGAACGGUAACAGGCCGCAAUGUGCUGACGAGUGGCGAACGGGUGAGUAAUGCAUCGGAACGUGCCCAGUCGUGGUGGAUAACUACUCGAAAGAGUAGCUAAUACCGCAUACGAUCUAUGGAUGAAAGCGGGGGACCUUAAGACCUCGCGCGAUUUUAGCUGCCGAUGUCAGAUUAGGUAGUUGGUGGGGUAAAGGCUCACCAAGCCAACGAUCUGUAGCUGGUCUGAGAGGACGACCAGCCACACUGGGACUGAGACACGGCCCAGACUCCUACGGGAGGCAGCAGUGGGGAAUUUUGGACAAUGGGCGAAAGCCUGAUCCAGCAAUGCCGCGUGCAGGAAGAAGGCCUUCGGGUUGUAAACUGCUUUUGUACGGAACGAAACGGCUCUGGUUAAUACCCGGGGCUAAUGACGGUACCGUAAGAAUAAGCACCGGCUAACUACGUG
rnacentral:rRNA from 1 species